CCUAAAUCCAACUCGUUUCUGAGGCUAUUUCAUGCAGAAUUCAAGCUUGGACAAAGGGUGGAGCAAUUAGUUGUAGACUAAGAAGCAUGUAGUUAGUUUAUAGAGAGAGAAGCUCCCUCUUCUCUCUAGAAUUAGGGUUCUUAGGUUAAU